AACCAAAAAUCGCCGGAAAUCACCACACCCCGCGCCUGACCUCACGCCAAUCACCCAGACGACGACCCUCUGCAUCCUCCCAUCAACCAAGUUUUCCAGAAUCAAAAAAUCCCGCCGUUGGUGUUUCUUCUUCUUCGCACGGAACAGACAUGAACGACGCACCUUAGAACGACCAUCUCCACCCUAGACGGAAUUGGUUUCUUCAUUCAUGAUCCAAGAGUUGUAAGUCUACAACCCCUCGUUCUGAGUUUAUUUUGAGCCUCCACGCCGACCUUUCUUUUCAACCCUAUCCAAAAACCUUCCAUAUAAAGACCCCAAUAUGCCUUCAAGAAUGCCAAGAGAAGCAUGCAAUGAGUAAUGGUUGUCACAUGACGUAGAACACUGUCAAAUAGGCCACACAAGAAAGAAAAAGAAAGAAAAAGAAAAGAAAAAUGAGAGUGUAUCAUUAGUGAAAACUCUCACGGGCAAAAAUGAGAGUGUAUCAUUAGUGAAAACUCUCACGGGCACAGUAAGACGACGAUGAGCAGAGAUGAAUAAAUGAGAGAGACUUGUUGGUGAAAACCCCUCAGGGCACCAUUAGUCGAAAGUGAGUCGUGAAGCUGAUGCAAAGGAUUGGCACAAAUAGGCCUGACUUCAAAGGUCAUAAGAAUAGUAAAAGGGAAGAGUGAAUUAGUUUGAUAGAUCGACCACUAAGUCCAAAAUGCAUGUCAUGACCAUUAAGGCUAGUUAGUGGGAAAAAAAAGUGAAAAAAAGAAAAAGAAAAACUCUUCCUUCUGUCCUUCCAACAGGGGCAUUUUUUUGUUAAUAAUUGUUUCUUUGUAUCAUUUUGCCCUUCACUCCGAGUCGGUCCUUGUCAAAACAAGCAAGAAAAGAUUUAAAAAUCUGCUAUCAGUUUUUCAGUUGUACAAAGUAAAUUUAGCCAGCAAACUCAGUUGUUAAUGUCAACAUGCCUUGAGGAUUCAUACAAAGGCUCCCCCCAGAAGACUCUUGUCAGCCUGUUUGGCGCAAACAAAGAUAACUUGUUAUUCUCUCUGACAGACAAAUUGCUCAAAGCAGGAAGUCAUUCAAAAUAUCAGAAAAGGUCAUCUAAGAAAAGAUCUCCAAUUGGGAUAAUGCUGAUUGAGCCAGGAAUACAAAUGGUACCGGGUGUGAAACAGUAAGAGUUGGUGCAGAAUAAAAGUUUCUUGAGAUCGACUCAAGAUGAUCGAGCAAAAGCCAACCUGCUCAAGACUCAAGGCCACAAACCAACCACCAUUUUCAAAACUGACAAAUUUUUCUUUGUAUGAAAUAGGAACAAAGCAGUGCAAGGAAUGUGGUUCGAAAAAAAAGAAGAAAAAAUUAGGGAAAAGAAAAAAGAAAAAGAAAGAAAAAUAGAAAAAAAGAGAAGAAAAAAUGAAAAUGAAAAUGAAAAGAAGAGAAGAACCGACAAAGGAAAGUUUCUCAAAUUUUUGCCUUUUUCUAUCUUGCUCAUGUGCAUAAAAUUUUGCCAUUUGGUCGUCACAUUUUGCCUCCUAGGAUAAAAAGUCCUAGUCUCAUGGAUUUUCCUCCCAAUAAAAUCUUAGUCUGAUAAAUUUUUUUCCUAAGAUAGAAAACCUAGUCUGAUAAACUUUCUCCUAGGAUCAAAAUCUUAGUCUGAUAAAUUUUUUUUUCUCCUAAGAUAGAAGACCUAGUCUGAUGAAUUUUCUCCUAGGAUCAAAAUCUUAGUCUGAUAAAUCUUUCUCCUAAGAUAAAAGACCUAGUCUAAUGAACUUUCUCCUAGGAUAAAAAUCUUAGUCUGAUGAAUCUUUCUCCUAAAAUAUCAAAAAAGCGAGACCUAGUCUGAUGAAUGUUCUCCUAAGAUCAAAAUAUUAGUCUGAUGAUUUUUUUUCUCCUAAGAUAGAAGACCUAGUCGGAUGAAUUUUCUCCUAGGAUCAAAAUGUUAGUCUGAUGAAUCUUUCUCCUAAGAUAAUAAAUUAGAAGACCUAGUCUGAUGACUUUUCUCCUAUGAUCAAAUUCUUAGUAUGAUGAAUCUUUCUCCUAAGAUACCAAAAAAAAAGAGAGGAAAAGGACCUAGUAUGAUGAAUUUUCUCCUAGGAUAAACGUCUUAGUUUGAUGAAUCUUUAUCCUAAGAUAGAAAACCUAGUCUGAUGAAUUUUCUCCUCGGAUAAUUUGAAAAAAAGGCAGUUUGGAUUUGAAAAAAGGGGCCAAUUUUUAGUUUUCUUAAGUUAUCAACGUUUAGUUUUCUUGAAAUCAGGGGUCCCACCUGGAGAACAGAGUCAGUUUUUACUUUAGUAAAUCUUAAUUUAUAGUUUUUCUAGUCUAUUCUUUAGUUUACUCUCAUCAUUGCAUCAAUAGUACAAGUGGUUUACAAUUUUUCUAACAACUCAGAAAUCUUCCUAGUGCAAACUGGGGCAGAAAAAAUUUCUUUUGUUUUGUCUGUUUUGUUGUAAUCAGGCGCCCACCUGGAAAACAAGGGAAGACAACUCAAGUUUCUAGGGAAAGCAGUGUAGAAGGAAGACAACUCAAGUUUCAAGGGAAAUCAGUUUCGAAGGAAGACAGUUCAAGUUUUAAGGGAAAAUGGUUCAAGGUGCAAGGGAAAACAGUGUCAAGUAACAAGAGAAGACGGUUCAACUUUAGCAAUCAGGCGCCAGCCUGGAAAAUAAGAGAAUUCAAUUCAGAAUGCAAUUCAGGUCAGCAACAAAAAAAGCUCGCAUCAAGAAUGCGAGUCAGCAGUCCAAGAUGAGAAAAAUAAAAUAAAAAGAAAGACAAGAAGUGAAGCCAAAAUGCAGAAGCUGAAACAAGAGGCGGAUUGCUCAAGACAUGACUGAGGUCACAAGCACUGCACGUCCGGUCUUGAUCCAAAAAGCUAAAGAAGAACGAGCUAGCACCUGCAGCUAACAAGCGCCGAGGUUCAAAUCUAAAGUCUGCAUGAAGAACCAUUUAAGACUCAAGAUCAAGCUUCGGAAGACUUAUAGAUAGGAAUCUUGUAACUCGUAGUUGACAGGCUUAGCUAGUCUUUUUCAUGUUUUGAUUUUUGAUGUAAUAAUGGGACCAUGGAACGGAACCUCAGCAAAAUGGCACCUCGACUGGCUCUCCACCUCGACAUACUCUAUCAUCUCACUCACCUCUGAGCUACACGUGGCCUGAUUCCUUUAUAGCCAAGGAUAUGUAGGUAGCUCAGAUACCAGAGCUUGGUCAUAUUCCACUUUCUCUUAGUUUUAGUCUCUCCAAAUAAGGGUCGGGUCAAAAACCUAUCUAGUCAUUCUUUGUCUGAAAAUACUACGUCUUUCCAGUCAAAGAGGGGCAGCUGUAGACAUGUGAUGUUUGACCCUCCCCAAGAUUUUUCAUAUUUUAGCGCGUAAAUAUUUAAUGUAGGCAUAAUAUAGAUAUUUUAAGUAAUUUUGACUCCUUUACUUUAUUUUAUUACAGGAAAACAAAACUUACAAAAUAGGUUCAUUAAUGUUUUGUAGUCAUUUUUAAUCUUAAAAAAAAUAUAAAAUAGUACUGCAUUUUUAUUUUAAUAUGAUAUUUGAAAAUACCAAAAAUAGAUUUGUUUUAAUGGUUAGUUUUAUUUUAACAAUUAUUUGAAUAGUAUGAUUAAUUAAUAAAUGGGACCGUAUUUUUAAUCUCGUUCGCAGGGAAAGAAUAGAACUUGGGCUCAAGCAACCCAUUUUUAAACCUAAUUUUGGACCUAGCCCAUAAUUUCCAAGCCCAUAAAUCCUAGGCCCAUACACCUUACCCUAAAAACCCUACAACUAUCUAGACCUAGACUCUACAAUAUAAAAAGAGGACUAAGACUAAUAAAGAAAGGGAAGGAACACUAAAAAGAACGCAGAUACUCUGCAAAAAGAAAAAGCUACGCCAAAAGGGAAACGACCCCCACCCCCUGACUCUAUCUUCUCCAAACGACCCCUCCCUCAUGAGAUUUCAUCACCUUCAAAACCAAAAAACCUAAACUCCAUCUCAACGUCAGCUGUCGUUCAUGCCACCAGACGACCACUCUGUAGCCUAACGCCGCUGCUCGCCUCCAAAAUGACCUCAUAUCCACUAGACACUCAACCAAAAAUCGCCGGAAAUCACCACACCCUACGCCUGACCUCACGCCGAUCACCCAGACGACGACCCUCUGCAUCCUCCCAUCAACCAAGUUCGCCGGAAUCAAAAAAUCCCGUCGUCGGUGUUUCUUCUUCUUCGCACGGAACAGACAUGAACGACGCACCUUAGAAUGACCGUCUCCACCCUAGAAGAAAUUGGUUUCUUCGUUCAUGAUCCAGUUUCGAGUGAAAAUCCGAAAACCAGAUUGAAAAGAAAAGGUUUUAGGGUCGUUGUUCAAGUAACGUCCAUAGCUC
rnacentral:lncRNA from 1 species